UUCAUUUUACCUAAUUAACUUCUUACUAACUGUCCUCACCAGAGCUGUUGGCAUUAACCCCCUGAAUGGGUCAGAAGAGAUACGGAUAAACUGAAGGCAAAUGAGGAGAGCAGAUUGCUCAUGGUGUGCUGAAUGCUUUGAUGUGGCAAGGUACUGCAGUUCUUUAUGGCUCCAAAGCACUACAUGCAUCGUAUGGACACAGAUGUCCUGAGUGUUUCACCUCAUUCACCAAACAGCAGGAAGGUUACGCACAGUAGAAAACAUCUUCUUCCAGAAGACCUUGAAAAACUGUUGGAAUGAUGACAUGUCCUACAGAAGCUGUGCUGGUAAUUCAAAUGUUUUUGAUAUGUGAUUCCUAAUUUUAGAAGUUGUGCUUGAUUUGCUUUGCUGCGGUGUUCCAGGUAGGACCUGCAGUUCAUGAAAUUGCAUGAACUACGAAUGUGAGUAAGGUGUGUUCAUCAGAAAAGGUUCAUUUACUGUUUCUUAGCAGAGCAGAGCUGGUCCAACAUCUCACCAAUCUGUCUGUUGUCUACCUUCCUUCAAUUCCUUCAGUUCUUUCAGAAGUACUCUCUGGUUAAAGUGUGGUGCUCCAGAACAGUAGUCCAUGUAAGAUUCCACAGAGCAGGGAUAAUAUCCAAUUUCUUGUUUUCCUGAAUAUAACUUCUGUUAAUGCUGGAGUGAAAGGCAACAAAAACGGUACAUCUUUAGUAAAUCUUAUGAUGUUACCAUGAAACUGUGGCUGCUAUGAACCAAGUUUUAAAGUGCCCUUCUCCUUUAAGGCAAAAGGGGAAAAGAUACCCAACCUGUUUCUA